GACGAACGCUGGCGGCGUGCCUAAUACAUGCCAGUAGAACGCUGAAGGAGGAGCUUGCUUCUCUGGAUGAGUUGCGAACGGGUGAGUAACGCGUAGGUAACCUGCCUGGUAGCGGGGGAUAACUAUUGGAAACGAUAGCUAAUACCGCAUAAUAGCAGUUGUUGCAUGACAACUGUUUGAAAGGUGCAAUUGCACCACUACCAGAUGGACCUGCGUUGUAUUAGCUAGUUGGUGGGGUAACGGCUCACCAAGGCGACGAUACAUAGCCGACCUGAGAGGGUGAUCGGCCACACUGGGAAUGAGACACGGCCCAGACUCCUACGGGGGGCAGCAGUAGGGAAUCUUCGGCAAUGGACGGAAGUCUGACCGAGCAACGCCGCGUGAGUGAAGAAGGUUUUCGGAUCGUAAAGCUCUGUUGUAAGAGAAGAACGAGUGUGAGAGUGGAAAGUUCACACUGUGACGGUAUCUUACCAGAAAGGGACGGCUAACUACGUG
rnacentral:rRNA from 1 species